rnacentral:lncRNA from 1 species
CUAUUCUAUGCAGGUGGAGAAUCCUGAAGUCUUACCCCUGAAGCAAAGGAAUUACCACUGCAUGGAAAUGAAUUGGAGUUGAAGUCAAUGAAGAAAAGAAGACCACAUUCUGCUUCCUGAAGAGUGAGGUUAAAAUGGAAUGAUUUUCGCUCUCCUGUUCUGUGGAUGAUCAUUUUCAAACACACUGUGAAAGGAUAUGCUAGUUUCUUAUUGCUGAGGAGUCCUCAGGAAGCUGCCAGGAAAGAUUCAGAUGUCAGAGCUUCUAUCCCCAGAGGCCUGGCUGUGACGCCAUCCAG